CUGUCAUCCUGAAAGCCACGGGAGGCCGGGCUUGUAAGAAACCAGCCUGGCACUGCUGGCCCUCAGGAGCACAAAAAGGUUUGCCCCAACUGAGAGUGGAAAUACAAAACCGCCAGGAAGAUCUGACAACAGAAAUGCUCAUGUAAACGUGGUCAGUGCCCACAGCUCAGAAAUGGCCGAAGGAAAAUGGAAAGUCAGUCACCAGAUCCUGCGGCCAGGUUGACUUUAGAUCACAGCAGCAAAGUGGUCAAUGGAAAAAACAGUGUCUGUGGGCACACCAUGCGUCAACACGGGAAGGCUGUGUGCAGAACGAGCCGAGGAUGGUCCUAGUGACCGAAGCUAUUUGUGACUUAAAAACGUACUUGGGUCUGCAAAACUCAAAUACAGUAGUGUCUGGUUUUUCAAUUGCAUUAUAAACUGAGAAACAAAAAACAAAAGCCUCUUGCAUUUGCUCACACGUAUGGUAUGCUUCAAAUUCCUUCCACAAGCAAGUCUUGAAUGGAAUGAAAACAGCCCCUUCAAGAACUGGAAAAGAAGUUACUAGAAAUGACCCCGUUGGUUCUCCUAAGAAUAGAAUAAAAGAAAGAUCUACCCUUGGUUGUUCAGGCGAGGGAUCUGUGCUAUCCUACGCUGCUGCAAGAAGGUACACUCGCCAAUCUGGUCUCCUCUAAGCUGCUCGCCUCUUCCUUGAGCCAGAGAUGAGGGGCUGCUCCCGGGGCUGCGUUCCAGCUCAGCUUGGAGAAAUCGUUCAGGAAACAGUUCUUCAGGCAGCUUGAGUUGCAACUUCUUCAGAAAGAAGAGGAGAGAGGAAGAGUACGUGGGGUGUGUGUGUGCGUGUCUGCGUGUCUGUGUGUCCGUGUGCAUGAGAGAGAAGAUGCCAGCUGUCCCACGAGUGUCUGACAAGCUUUCCGUAUGAUAGCUACUAAAGCCGCGUGGAAUCCUCACUACAAUCCACGUGGAGGAUAAAUACGUCACCCACUGUAAUACUACUAUGUUGAAGCAAUGAAAGAAAACAAAACAAAUCCAAACUUGUAGACAGUUUUUGGAGACGCUCUGUUCAGCUGAUGCCUGCUUCCCACAAUCAUGCCAGCACAAGCCAAAAAGUCUUCCUUCCUGAUGGCAGUUCUUGGCUUUCCAACCAGAGGAAAAAUAUUCACGAACUGCUGUGUUUUCUUUUUUUUGUGUGUUUUUUGUUUUUUUUUUUUUACUUAAGGCAUUGUUCCUCAAACUUCAAAAAUCCAGCUGCACCAUAUCCAUCAAUUAAAAAAAAAGGCACAAACUCAUCUUCAGAUGGCUUUGGAGACAAUAAAGCCGACUCCAUCUGGGCUACCAUUUCCUUUUUUGUGUUUCCCCCCUCUCUUUCCCUUUCCUUUAGAUGUAAGACUAGUCCUCUUUCCCUGUCCCUCCCCAUUAAAAAUACACCAUCUCACAUUGUUCUGAUUUCAACAAGAAUGUCGUUGACUCACAGGCAGGCAAGAGCCAUUUGAAAAAUCCAAGAAAUGAAACUACAAGAUGGGUCAAGUGGUUCAAGCGGAGAUUGCUGAAUUGUGGGUAAUCAAAUUGUAAGCACCAGUUUCACGUUAAGGUUUGUUUUAUUUUCACGUGUUGUUGAAUCUUUGACUUUUUGGCAACUCUGCCAAAGACUUCACGGGCAUCGUUCCCCUUUCCACUCCCGGUGAGGACCAGAGGAAGAGUGCCCAGCGUUGUCAAUCCUUUACUGCUCUUCACCAGCAUUUUUCACUUUCAGCAAAUAUAUACUGUAGACGCAUAUAGAUAUGGAGAGAUUUUUCGGUUGCUUUGCUUUACACCUGGUUGUCCUUCUGUAUUCUGGAAAAAACCAUGACAGGACGCAGGAGUAACAAGAGAAAGCUUCUUGGCAGAGCUUCAAGACGAAGACGAACAAACAGGAGAACUCCAGCUCGAAGAUGAAUGCUACAGGGGAGGUUCCUCUUCCAUGGGUUCAUCAUCAGGUCUGAGCAAUUUCACAGCCAGGCAGGGAGGGAAGAGGGAGGAGAGAAAAGAUAGUUGAGCAUGAGAGCUGGAUACUUAGUGGCGCUAAAUCUCACACCUUAUGUUCCUAUCACCUUCCCUCCAGGAAAAUUUUGCUCAGCUGGCUCACUUAGAAUUAAAACUUGCCUCCAAAAAGGGGUUUCUCAGACAACGUGUUUUCACUUGUGCAACUUCAAAAUUUUUGCAGCAAAAUCCAUUUCCUCUCAUGGUCCAAAAACACCUUCUGCUCUGACUGGAGCAGAGGGAUCAGGCAACGUGUGCACAACGCUAAGGUAACAUCCGGGGCUCAUGUAAGUGAACUUCUCUUGCAGCCCAGAGGAUGCAUGAAAGGAAGGAGAUGGGUGAAUGUGCAAUGGGUAGAAGGCGAGGAUUAAUCCAGUAGGCUGCUCCCAAGGCCACCCGUGAUGACAAAAGCAACUCACCGCUUCUCAGCUGGCUUCACGCCUACCGACAGAGAUGCCAUGGCUGUCACUGUCUCAGCCUCUUCAUUCUCACACUUCUGUGCCUCAACCAGGGAGUAGCCCACUGUGGAGGCGUAGCGCUGGAGUGAAUGCCAAUACUUGCCUGGGGAGAGGUGAGAAAAACAGCAGUUAGGGCACCUGCAUCAGGAUGGGUCAAGUAAUGUGUUCAGAGGAUCACAGAAUGCUUGGGUUGGGAGUGACCUUAAAGAUCAUCCAGUUCCAACCUCCUGCCAUGGGCAGGGCUGCCACCCACUAGGUCAGGCUGCUUAGAGCUCCAUCCAACCAGCCUUCCUAUGCCCAGUAGAAGUAGGUAGCUGAGAACUGACUGGGGAGGACACAUCAUGCUUAUGCAAAACACAGUCUUAUGCCAUGCUUGCUGUCACUUCCAGGCCUUCCUUGAGGCCCCUUGAUGUGGAGGGAACUUCUGGGGGUGCAAGCCAAGGGAAACCCCUUGGAGCCUUCCAGGCUCAGGGAAUUAGUGAGAUGGGCUCCUCUCCCCUGCUCACAGCUCUCUGUCACGAGCUCUGAUAUAGCAGAUCAUCGCUGACCCUUAUGGUCAAGUAGGUUGCUGUGAGAGAAGCUGCUCUGUCCUCUAUGCAGAAAAAUCCAAUGUACUUUCUACACAAUAUCAAAAGUGACAUCCAAGGACUGCCAAAGCUCCUUCUUCUUGACACAUAUUAAUAAAUGGUGCUGCAAUUCUGCUGUGUCUUGAAGACCGACAUUUUGAAUAAAUGUUUGUCUUGUUAUGUAAGCAUACAAUUAGCAGGACAUAUUUCAGCAGAAAUAUGCAGUGGGACAACCACGGUAUCCCCUGCUUAUAAGGGGUAAAACCUUUGUUCAGAAAAAAGAACUAAAAAUGGAGGAGGGAGGCUAAAGUAACAGAUUUCCAGCUGGAAUCACACAGGAAGAAUGGAGAUGUAACAGCUCUCCUGGGCUGAGAGAUGUUUUGCAGGGGAAAACAUGCUUUAGUAAAGCAUCCACAAAAAUGAACCAGCUCUCUCCCCCAAAGACAACUAGGAUGUCAAAUCAGGGCUGAAUCACUGGCAUGCAAUGAAAGACACUCUUCUUCUUUGGCUAUGGAAGAAAGGUGACCUGAUGGUCUUACUUAAAACCCCUUUUCUGAUUUGUUUUGCUCGGUUUAAUGGAAAAAAAAAAAAGUCACUACUUGACUCAAGGUGUCACAUUGCUGCUGAGCAUUCAAGUCAGCAGAGUGGCUGCUGGAAAUGGAAUUGAGAUUUCUAAAGUUACUCGGCAUUUCUGAGCGGGGAAAAUCAUUUGGCCUUUUUUAAGCUCUACUCUAGUUCUAUAAAGAGGAGACUAGCCUCCCUCUAGUUUUAUACCACAAGUGUUUGAAGUGGGAAGAUGUCAAGACCUAGCACAGCGGGAUUCCCAUGUUAUUCAGACUCUUUUCACUCUAUUCCUCAAGAACGUCCCCAGGAAAUCUUCAACCACAAUGAUUUUAAUCUCAACUAAAUAAACCCACAAUAUUAGCAGCUUCAUGCAACGUUCUUUCAUCCCUAUCCAUUCUUCACUAAUGAAUGUAACGAUACAUGAUGAGACUCAUGUUAGUCAGAGAUACUUGAAUUGCUUCUGAAGACAUAAGCACCCACGCUGAAGUGUAGGACAGUCUGUCCUCUCCAGUGAUUUUAAAGGUUUUACUACACUGGCUUUAAUACUAAUUCCCCCAGUGAGACCAGAACAACCUGCUCAAUGACCGGGAUGCCUCCCAGCUUGCUUCACCUUUCCGAACACAGACUUCUGCACUUAACAGCUUCGCCUUGUGCCAGCCAAGCAGCAGGCUCGGCAGACAAGAGCACUGAUACAGUCCUCCCUCAAGAGCCAAACCACCUCCCUGAAUUAACUCUUCCCUGUGCAUCACUCGAUACAUCACUGUGUGCACAGUAAGACCAGUUGGUGGCUGCCUAAAUCCAAUUCACAAUGCAGUGACAACCCACAAAGUAGGGUGAGAGUAUGCAGCGGCCUGAGGUUGAACACGGAGCUGCCAGGACAGUGAAGAAUUGGGAUGGGUACUCUCACAGAGCAGUCCAAGAGGGAACCAGCUGGGUAAACAGGCUAUACUCACUGUGUAUCUCAAUCACUUUCUCCAUUGAAUGCACCGCAUUAGCAUUUGCUCUCUGCUGGAGAACCUUUUCUGGAAGAGGGUCAAGCUGGAGAGAGAGAGGAAGAAUGAAGAAACGUUAUCUCAAGCUAGAGAACAGGCAUUAAGCAUGAUUUAGCAAACAGCUCUGCCACAUCAAGCCUCCACCCUAUUCCCCUGAUUCCUAUUAUCUGCCUUCAGUUAAAUAUCCAAAAUAGACAAGACUUCCUAAGUGCUCUUGCGAUAUUCCAUACAGCCUCCCCCAUCCCAACACUCCUCCACAAGCACAAAAUGCUGCAGCCAUGGAUGGAGACUGUUUGCAGAGAGCAGAAAAAUAAGGCAAGUGGUGCUGCCUGUUUUCACACCAUGUCUUUAUAAGACUAAUACUUCAGACUGCCUUUUGCUAAGUUUUCACUAUUAAUAAUGUGAAAGGAAAAUAAAAGCAACUGAAAAAUACAACAAUGACCACACUUCUUUCUUUCCUCUGAAGAAAUACAAGGGGAAGCUUUUAAAUUCCUCUAAAUAACUGAUUCCGUGCAUUUAAUGACUCAAAGAAACAGCUGGUUUUCUCACUUGGGUUGCUUACUCUCACUUUAAGAGGACGGUCUUCUGAAAAGCUGAACUGUCCUUUCUGCCCUUCAUGAAGUUAUUAAACCUUCUGUUGUUGGUAUGAUGCCUGCCUCAAUUCCCAUUGGCCAAGAACCAACAAAAAAAGCCCAAACAACACAACUGUUACUAGACAUUUUUUUUCUCUAAAUUGCUGAAGAAUAUCCUAAGAUACAUCCAUGUGGUUCCUGCCAUCCUUUGCAAAGAGCAGCAGCAUUUUAACACUGUACAGGCAUGGCUCCAACAGCAGGCAGGAGCUGGGGCUUCCUCCCUCCGCAGGAAAGAAGCCAGAUCUGCAGUCCGGAUAUAUCAAUUUAUAUUAUAAAGAAGAGAAUAUAAAUAAUUGAAAACUUUAAAAAGGAUCUUCCAAGGGAAGGAGACUGGGUGAUGUUGUGUAGAGCACCAAAUUUCACUGGCACAGCAGAGAUGUCUGCUUGGUAGGUGAGGAUGUCCAGCAGGGCAGCUCUACUUGGCUCACAUAUGUGGCUGAUGGCUGGAGCUCAAGACAUCGCACAACUCAGUACUCAAGACAAAAAUUUCAGCUGAGUCGAUUCUCUCCAGACCCUUUUCUUUUCUUCCCCUUCUUUUUUUUUUUUCUCCCCUGGUUCUCCACAAAGAACACACAUUCAUCACAAAGCUGGGUAUCCAAAACAAGAAACGCUGCUGUUGACUGUGUCUGAAAAUAUGCAUCAGUGCUCAUCCCAGGAUCCUCUUCAACAAAGAAG
rnacentral:lncRNA from 1 species